rnacentral:rRNA from 1 species
UCGAACGUGAAGCCUCCUUCGGGGAGGUGGAAAGUGGCGAACGGGUGAGUAACACGUAGGUAACGUGCCCUAGGGAGGAGGACAACAGGUGGAAACGCCUGCUAAUACUCCGGAUGUCACUUCGGUGACUAAAGCUCCGGCGCCCUAGGAGUGGCCUGCGGUCCAUCAGCUUGUUGGUAAGGUAAAGGCUUACCAAGGCGAAGACGGAUAGGGGGCGUGAGAGCGUGGACCCCCACACUGGUACUGAUACACGGACCAGAUACCUACGGGUAGCAGCAGUGAGGAAUAUUGCGCAAUGGGGGCAACCCUGACGCAGCAACACCGCGUGGAGGAAGAAGGUUUUCGGAUUGUAAACUCCUUUUCUGUAGGAAUAGCAAGGAAGGUACUACAGGAAUAAGGCCCGGCUAACUACGUGCCAGCAGCCGCGGUAAAACGUAGGGGCCAAGCGUUAUCCGGAAUUACUGGGCGUAAAGAGCGUGUAGGCGGUUAAAUAAGUUGGAUGUGAAAUCUCCCGGCUCAACUGGGAGAGGCCAUUCAAAACUGUUUAACUAGAGAUAGAUAGAGGCAAGUGGAAUUUCCGGUGUAGCGGUGAAAUGCGUAGAUAUCGGAAGGAACACCAGAGGCGAAGGCGGCUUGCUGGGUCUGAUCUGACGCUGAGACGCGAAAGCUAGGGGAGAGAACGGGAUUAGAAACCCCGGUAUUCCUAGCCGUAAACGAUGUCAACUAGUGUAGGUGGGUGUAAGCCCAUCUGUGCUCCAGCUAACGCGAUAAGUUGACCGCCUGGGGACUACGCCGCAAGGCUAAACUCAAAGGAAUUGGCGGGGACCCGCACAGCAGCGGAGCGUGUGGUU